rnacentral:rRNA from 1 species
UACGAAGGGGGCUAGCGUUGUUCGGAUUUACUGGGCGUAAAGCGCACGUAGGCGGAUCGUUAAGUCGGGGGUGAAAUCCUGGAGCUCAACUCCAGAACUGCCUUCGAUACUGGCGAUCUUGAGUCCGGAAGAGGUGAGUGGAACUCCUAGUGUAGAGGUGGAAUUCGUAGAUAUUAGGAAGAACACCAGUGGCGAAGGCGGCUCACUGGUCCGGUACUGACGCUGAGGUGCGAAAGCGUGGGGAGCAAACUAG